CUUUGGGAUAACCCUCGGAAACGGGGGCUAAUACCGGAUAUGACCUUGUCCUGCAUGGGGUGGGGUGGAAAGUUUUUUCGGCUAGGGGUGGGCUCGCGGCCUAUCAGCUUGUUGGUGGGGUGAUGGCCUACCAAGGCGACGACGGGUAGCCGGCCUGAGAGGGCGACCGGCCACACUGGGACUGAGACACGGCCCAGACUCCUACGGGAGGCAGCAGUGGGGAAUAUUGCACAAUGGGCGGAAGCCUGAUGCAGCGACGCCGCGUGAGGGAUGACGGCCUUCGGGUUGUAAACCUCUUUCACCCAUGACGAAGCGUUUGUGACGGUAGUGGGAGAAGAAGCGCCGGCCAACUACGUGCCAGCAGCCGCGGUAAGACGUAGGGCGCGAGCGUUGUCCGGAUUUAUUGGGCGUAAAGAGCUCGUAGGCGGCUUGUUGCGUCGACCGUGAAAACCCGGGGCUCAACUUCGGGCUUGCGGUCGAUACGGGCGGGCUAGAGUUCGGUAGGGGAGACUGGAAUUCCUGGUGUAGCGGUGAAAUGCGCAGAUAUCAGGAGGAACACCGGUGGCGAAGGCGGGUCUCUGGGCCGAUACUGACGCUGAGGAGCGAAAGCGUGGGGAGCGAACAGGAUUAGAUACCCUGGUAGUCCACGCUGUAAACGUUGGGCGC
rnacentral:rRNA from 1 species